AAAUGAAGCCGAAAUUCAGGAGGACAUAUUUUACACACAUUUGAUGAGCAAAUGUUAACAAGUCUGACAAGACCAGAAAUUGCCAUUUCAGACCAAAGCUGAAGAGAAUGAAGCCAAACAGAGAACCCACAGGAUUGUAAAAGUGAAGACUCAGAAGGCACAGGUUACCAAAGAGGUUUUCACCAUCAGAGACAAAAAGGCUCAAAACCAGAGCUAAGCGAUGAUCUGAUCUUCCCCUUCAAGUACGUCCUUAGAAGCAGAGCUCGUGGAUCAAAGAGAAGCGUGCUUGAAAACGUUUGAUUCUGUGCCAAACCGUCCUUCCAGAAAGAUUGUACCAGCUUUGACUCUUGCCAGCAACACACAAGAGCCAGUUUUCCAAUACCCUCCCCUUGGAGGGGAAAAAGGGUCAUUUCCAUUUUCUACUAUGUCAGAAGGAUACCAAAAGAUGUCAAAAAUACUAUUUCACUGUGAGUGUUCAUGGAUCCCAUUACU